UACGUAGGGGGCUAGCGUUGUCCGGAAUCAUUGGGCGUAAAGCGCGCGUAGGCGGCCCGGUAAGUCCGCUGUAAAAGUCAAAGGCUCAACCUUUGAAUGUCAGUGGAUACUGCCGGGCUAGAGUCCGGAAGAGGCGAGUGGAACUCCUGGUGUAGCGGUGGAAUGCGCAGAUAUCAGGAAGAACACCGACGGCGAAGGCAGCUCGCUGGGACGGUACUGACGCUGAAGCGCGAAAGCGUGGGGAGCGAACAGG
rnacentral:rRNA from 1 species